rnacentral:lncRNA from 1 species
CAGAAAAGGACUUAUGCAAAACUAGGCUUAUUUUUUCUUACCCUAGAGGGAAGGGAUGUGUCAAAUGUAUAAAGAUCCACUGCUUUCCUAAGUCGAGGUUCAGAACUGUAAAAUGGUGUGGCUGGACUUGGAAGAUCUUUGAUCUGUGCUAGGAUGCAUUCUUUGCAGAGGUAAUGACAGUAUCUUCAUUCUCUGGAGAAAAAGUUCAGAGAUACCUGGCUCCUAUUCCAGGCCAUCCCCAUCUGACUGGGCUGUCUUCCCAUCGCAGCGUUUUCCAGCACAUAAAAUAAUGACAGCAGAGGGGCCUCCAG